rnacentral:snRNA from 1 species
CAGUGUGGUGACAGGUGUCACAGGCAGAUGGCCCUCACAUCGAACUUGUAAUGGGGAAGACAUCCCUAACACAAAUAGGAUAUUUUAUCUCGUAAGGCUAUUUGGUAGCUGCGCUCUCUGCUACAACCUCCUAGUGCUCAAGGUCCAUUCCUUGGAGAACGUAGGGUAAUCCUGCUUCCAAGACUGCAGACACAUACAAGUGACGUGCUGCAUGGGAAAAUACUCCUU